rnacentral:misc_RNA from 1 species
AAGUCGUAACAAGGUUUCCGUAGGUGAACCUGCGGAAGGAUCAUUAAUAAAUUUAAUGAAAAACUUUUUUUGAAUGGUGGGGAAACUCGCCUUCAAAAAAAAAGCCAAUUUUGUGAACUGUUCGACGUUUAUUUGGGGGUUGGAGAAAUCUUUUUUCUUUCAACUCCCAAGAGUAAAAAAUCAACCAAGUUAUUCUUUUUUCUGGUCAUUAUAUCUUGUUUUUCUUGUGAAAGAGAAAAAUUUGAAUACAACUUUUGACAACGGAUCUCUAGGCUCUU